GACAGAGGGUGCAAACGUUGUUCGGAAUCACUGGGCUUAAAGCGCGUGUAGGCGGGCCAGCACGUCGGGCGCUGAAAUCCCCCGGCUCAACCGGGGAACGGGCACCGAUACGACUGGCCUGGAGGGGAGUAGGGGGACCUGGAACUUCCGGUGGAGCGGUGAAAUGCGUUGAGAUCGGAAGGAACGCCCGUGGCGAAAGCGAGGUCCUGGGCUCUUACUGACGCUGAGACGCGAAAGCCAGGGGAGCGAACGGGG
rnacentral:rRNA from 1 species